rnacentral:rRNA from 1 species
AUUGAACGCUGGCGGCAGGCCUAACACAUGCAAGUCGAGCGGAUGAAGGGGGCUUGCUCCUGGAUUCAGCGGCGGACGGGUGCGUAAUGCCUAGGAAUCUGCCUGGUAGUGGGGGAUAACGUCCGGCAACGGGCGCUAAUACCGCAUACGUCCUGCGGGAGAAAGUGGGGGAUCUUCGGACCUCACGCUAUCAGAUUAGCCUAGGUCGGUUUCGGUAGUUGGUGGGGUAAAGGCCUACCAAGGCGACGGUCCGUAACUGGUCUGAGAGGAUGAUCAGUCACACUGGAACUGAGACACGGUCCAGACUCCUACGGGAGGCAGCAGUGGGGAAUAUUGGACAAUGGGCGAAAGCCUGAUCCAGCCAUGCCGCGUGUGUGAAGAAGGUCUUCGGAUUGUAAAGCACUUUAAGUUGGGAGGAAGGGCAGUAAGUUAAUACCUUGCUGUUUUGACGUUACCAACAGAAUAAGCACCGGCUAACUUCGUG